rnacentral:rRNA from 1 species
UGCUCGUAGCGGCGAGUGAGCGGCAGAGCUCAGAUUUGAAAUCGUGCUUUGCGGCACGAGUUGUAGAUUGCAGGUUGGAGUCUGUGUGGAAGGCGGUGUCCAAGUCCCUUGGAACAGGGCGCCCAGGAGGGUGAGAGCCCCGUGGGAUGCCGGCGGAAGCAGUGAGGCCCUUCUGACGAGUCGAGUUGUUUGGGAAUGCAGCUCCAAGCGGGUGGUAAAUUCCAUCUAAGGCUAAAUACUGGCGAGAGACCGAUAGCGAACAAGUACUGUGAAGGAAAGAUGAAAAGCACUUUGAAAAGAGAGUGAAACAGCACGUGAAAUUGUUGAAAGGGAAGGGUAUUGCGCCCGACAUGGGGAUUGCGCACCGCUGCCUCUCGUGGGCGGCGCUCUGGGCUUUCCCUGGGCCAGCAUCGGUUCUUGCUGCAGGAGAAGGGGUUCUGGAACGUGGCUCUUCGGAGUGUUAUAGCCAGGGCCAGAUGCUGCGUGCGGGGACCGAGGACUGCGGCCGUGUAGGUCACGGAUGCUGGCAGAACGGCGCAACAC